CCUCUGUUCUCUGACAGAUAAUCCAGGCUGCUGGGCACCCUCCAGAGGCCUUGGCAGUCCCUGUUCAGACAAGUCAUGUCCCCCUUGGCUUUUUGUCCUAAGCUUUCCAAACAACCUCUUACCAACAUACUUUGUACAGCAAGAUUAGUGUGGCUAAAGGCGGCAGCUGCAGAAAGAUUUGCUCCAAUUCCGUGUCUGGAAAUCUCGGAGAACUGCUCUUGCCCUCUCUUUCCCACAGGCUGGCUGCACCCUGAUGGGUUAUCUGAGGUCUGAGACUGUGAACGCUGUCUGUUGCCUUGGCUCAUGGACCCCCUUCUCCCAUCUUCAAUGCCAGUGACAGCAGGUGGACUCUUAAGAUGUCACUCUGCUGGUUCUCACUUUGCUUUUCCCUCUGUGUGGACUUUUGUAGUGACACUGGAGCCACACAGACGACCCACAGAGUUCCCUGUAUUAAAAUCAGCUGCAGAAAA